GUGCCAGCAGCCGCGGUAAUACGUAGGGUGCGAGCGUUGUCCGGAAUUACUGGGCGUAAAGAGCUCGUAGGUGGUUUGUCGCGUUGUUCGUGAAAUCUCACGGCUUAACUGUGAGCGUGCGGGCGAUACGGGCAGACUAGAGUACUGCAGGGGAGACUGGAAUUCCUGGUGUAGCGGUGGAAUGCGCAGAUAUCAGGAGGAACACCGGUGGCGAAGGCGGGUCUCUGGGCAGUAACUGACGCUGAGGAGCGAAAGCGUGGGGAGCGAACAGGAUUAGAUACCCUGGUAGUCCACGCCGUAAACGGUGGGUACUAGGUGUGGGUUUCCUUCCUUGGGAUCCGUGCCGUAGCUAACGCAUUAAGUACCCCGCCUGGGGAGUACGGCCGCAAGGCUAAAACUCAAAGGAAUUGACGGGGGCCCGCACAAGCGGCGGAGCAUGUGGAUUAAUUCGAUGCAACGCGAAGGACCUUACCUGGGUUUGACAUGCACAGGACGCGUCUAGGAUAGGCGUUCCCUUGUGGCCUGU
rnacentral:rRNA from 1 species